AGAUAUAUCUUAAAUUAGGAUAAUCGAAUCUUUGUUUUUCUUGUAAUCUACCAAUUUGUUACACAAAAUUCGAAUUUUGAAGAAUCAGUGUGAUAUUUUUUUUCAUUCUUUUCUCAAAUUAGAAAAUUCAGCAAAUCUAUAAAGCAAGAUUUGGUUUUUACACAAUAUUUUAUACACUAAUUUCCUAUUUGAAGGGGAAAAAAACUUUCCUUUUUUACAAAAUCGAGAAACUAUCGAUUGUUGGAACCACAACAACAACAACAACUUUCUAUCAUUUUGUGAUUGUUUUUGUGUGUGUGUGCAUUGGUUGUUUGUUUGUUUAUUUCUGUGUUGUUUAAUCUUCGUUGUUUAUUAUCAUCUUUUGGCAUAUAGUCCGAAUCGAACGAAUUCAACUUCUGUAGAAAAAAAGCCGAAGUGUUUCGGCUAAAAUUUGAAACUUUUUUCUGUGCAAAAGGAAAAAAAAGAACCGAAUCUUUAUCAUUCUUGAAAAAAAAAAUUUGAUAUGAAUCAGUGUUUUUGUUCAAAUGAAUCAUGUCUACAGUGUCAACAUUAUCUUCAA